rnacentral:rRNA from 1 species
CGCCUGUUUAUCAAAAACAUGUCUUUUUGAAAAUAAUUUAAAGUCUGGUCUGCCCACUGAUUUAUAAAUAAUUAAAGGGCUGCAGUAUAUUGACUGUACAAAGGUAGCAUAAUCAUUAGUCUUUUAAUUGAUGACUAGUAUGAAUGAUCGGAUAAAAUAUAAACUGUCUCUUAAUAAAUUUAUAGAAUUUAAUUUUUUAUUUAAAAAGUUAAAAUAAUUUUAAAAGACGAGAAGACCCUAUAGAGUUUAAUAAUUUUAUAAAUUAAAAUUAUAUGUAUAAAUUUAAUUAAAAAUUAUAAAUUUAUUUUGUUGGGGUGAUAAAAAAAUUAAUUAAACUUUUUUUAAAAUUUAACAUAAAUAAUUGAAUAUUUGAUCCAAUUUUUUUGAUUAUAAGAAUAAAUUACCUUAGGGAUAACAGCGUAAUUUUUUUUUUUAGUUCUUAUAAAAAAAAAGUUUGCGACCUCGAUGUUGGAUUAAGAUAAAAUUUAAAUGCAAAAGUUUAAAAUUUUGAUCUGUUCGAUCAUUAAAAUCUUACAUGAUCUGAGUUCAAACCGGAG